CCUACGGGAGGCAGCAGUGAGGAAUAUUGGUCAAUGGCCGGAAGGCUGAACCAGCCAAGCCGCGUGAAGGACGAAGGUGCCAAGCAUUGUAAACUUCUUUUGUCAAGGGACAAAAUCAGGCUCGAGAGCCUGACCGAGGGUACUUGAAGAAAAAGCAUCGGCUAACUCCGUGCCAGCAGCCGCGGUAAUACGGAGGAUGCGAGCGUUAUCCGGAUUUAUUGGGUUUAAAGGGUGCGUAGGCGGUUUGAUAAGUUAGAGGUGAAAUACCGGUGCUCAACACCGGAACUGCCUCUAAUACUGUUGAACUAGAGAGUAGUUGCGGUAGGCGGAAUGUAUGGUGUAGCGGUGAAAUGCUUAGAGAUCAUACAGAACACCGAUUGCGAAGGCAGCUUACCAAACUAUAUCUGACGUUGAGGCACGAAAGCGUGGGUAGCAAACAGGAUUAGAUACCCGAGUAGUC
rnacentral:rRNA from 1 species